GGAAAGUGUGGGUCGUGAAAAGAUUUCUAAUCUUUUUUGCAUGCAGUUCAACUCUGUUUACUUUCUU
rnacentral:tRNA from 1 species